AGAGUUUCCCGUCUCUCUGUGUUUCUCCUGGAUGUGACGACUCACCCAGCUUCACUGUCAAUCAACAUCUCUCAUUUGAUGGAGUGAGGAAAUCUCUCUCAGAUCUGAAAAAACGAGUCGAACAAAUCUGUGAGGAGGAAUUCAACAAAAUCAGACCACAAGCUGCAGCAGUUCAGAUGAUUUUACCUUCAGAACCAAAGAGCAGAGAAGAUUUUCUGCAGUAUUUCUGUUAUCUGUCUCUGGAUCUAAACACAGCACAUCCUGAACUCAUUCUGUCUGAGAAGAACAGAGUGGUGAG